AUUGAAUGUCAACUUUGCGGGUCCUGCAGCUCAUUUUGAACACUACUGGCCUCCAAAGGAAGGGACUCAAUUAGAGAGAGGAAGUAUAAUUCUUUGGCAUAACUUGAACUACUGGCAGCUAUUAAGAAAAGAAAAACUGCCUGUUCAUAAAGUUGGAAAUACUCCUCUAGAUAUGAAUCAAUUCCGAAUGCUAUUUUCUACCUGCAAGGUUCCAGGAAUUACUAGAGACUCAAUUAUGAAUUAUUUUAGGACCGAGAGUGAAGGGCGUUCCCCAAACCACAUUGUAGUGCUGUGUCGAGGCCGAGCUUUUGUCUUUGAUGUAAUACAUGAAGGAUGUUUGGUCACCCCGCCAGAGCUUCUCAGGUUUUCAGACUACUUUCUUGAGUCUCAUUAGGUCUUAUGGUGUUACUUGAAUUAAAAUAUACAUGUUUAGAAUUGCCUUUCAAAGUGAUAGUAAGCUGAAAAAUAAGAAUUUUAUGCAUGCUUUUUUUUAAAAAAAUCUAUUUGUAUUUUUUAUUCAAAUUAUUUUUAAAUUUUACUAGACAUAUAUAAAUAUGUUCACUUGGAGAAAAGGA
rnacentral:sRNA from 1 species